CUGGCGGCGUGCCUAACACAUGCAAGUCGAGCGAGAAUUGCGGACGGAGGACUCGGUUGAAGGAAGCAAAGGAAAGCGGCGGACGGGUGAGUAACGCGUGAGUAACCUGCCUUUAGGAGGGGGACAACAUCUCGAAAGGGAUGCUAAUACCGCAUGAUAUAACAAAGUCGCAUGGCUUUGUUAUCAAAGAUUUAUCGCCUAAAGAUGGACUCGCGUCUGAUUAGCUAGUUGGUGGGGUAAAGGCUCACCAAGGCGACGAUCAGUAGCCGAACUGAGAGGUUGAUCGGCCACAUUGGGACUGAGACACGGCCCAGACUCCUACGGGAGGCAGCAGUGGGGGAUAUUGCGCCAAUGGGGGGAACCCUGACGCAGCAACGCCGCGUGAAGGAAGAAGGUUUUCGGAUCGUAAACUUCUUUAAGUGGGGAAGAUAAUGACGGUACCCACAGAAUAAGCCACGGCUAACUACGUGCCAGCCGCCGC
rnacentral:rRNA from 1 species